CCAACUCAAAACAUUCCUGAACAGUGAACACUUGGCUCUCACCAGCCCAUAGGAGCCAGGCCUAGCUCAGGAGCGCAUGACUGCUGGCCUAGAACACUAUGCCAAACAAUUUCCUCCAGCUUCUCAAAAUGCGCAGUUGUCCAGGGCAGAAGCUGAGUGUGCAGGAGGCUUGGUGAGGUGAUGCACUGAAUCCACAGGUCUGGGAACGAAUCCAGUCAGCGACUCACUGCAUGUUCAAGUGUGUCUGAAUAAGUUAACUUCAAAACCAAACCGAGUGCUCAAGGCAACGUCUCUCCACUGGUGGUGGAGAACAGCCUGGCAGAACUUUCCCCAUGGGUAGGUUUUGGGGAAUGAAUGGGGAGUCGGGAAAUCUGGGUGACAACUCUGGGUCUGCCACUAAUUGGCUCAAUGACCUCAGACAUGUCGCCUGACCACUCUGAGUCUCAGCCUUCACAUCCCCAAAAUGACAGGCAGAUGAUCUAAUAGUCAGCCACUGAGUGUCUUCCGAGGCCUAUGGACUUAAUGCAACACCAAGGUUCCUGGAGAACCCGUUUCUGACCCAGGCGACCAUGCAGGUUGUGAAGCCAGAGGGGAGCUUGAGCACCAAGUUCAAGACGGCAGUCUUGCAAGGCUUUCCUCGAAGCAGCUCCUGCAGACUGGCUCUUUCACCUUAAACUCCAUAGUUUUGGACACAGAACCUGCGAGAGAAGAGCAAGGAUUUGGACUGUGGCCUGGAGAUGGAACCUGCAGCGCUCUUUCCCAAGGAAUGCAUCGCAGCCCCUCAGGCUGGAACAGGCAGGUGCUGUGAAAUCUGGCUGACAAGUCAGCUUCAAGGUGAUGUGCUUGCUGAGUCUUCUCUUCUUUCAGCGAAGCUCACAUCACGCCCCUGGUGCCUGGCAAAAGUAAAUAAUGAUGAGUGAGUGUAUGAAGCAGGAGGGUCUCUACACACCUGUAAUUACUACCUGGCAAGUCCCUGCAGAAUGCAGGAGUUCCCCCAGAAAGCCAGUGGGGCCAUUUCUGGAGAGAGGAAGUCAACGUAGGUCCUCCAGGCAAGAUCUAGCUGGAGGAACUAGAAUUAAAACUUCUAUCACUGGACGGAUGUUUUGUCGCUUGGCGGGAAAGUUCUGAGUCAAAGCUCCCAGUUUCCUAAGCUGUUAUAAACCCGGUUGAAAUGCUCACAUACACCUGUGAGUGUCUCAAAACAAACAAAGCAUAAUCGCCUUAGAACAGCACUGUCUUAUAGAAAUAUAGUGUGAGCUACAUGUCAUUUAAAAUUCUCUAGAAGCAACUUUUAAAAAGAAACAGGUGAGAUGAAUUUUAAUAAUAUAUUUAACUUAACCAACCCGAAAUAGUAUCACUUCCUCAUGCAAUCAAUAUAAAAAAUUGCUCGUGAGAUAUUUUACGAAGUCUUCCAAAUCUGGGUAUAUAUUACAUUUUCAGCACAUCUCACUGUGGACGUGCUUCAGGUGCUAAGAGCCACACAAGCUGUGUGCCAUGUUGGACACUGCAGCCUUUGAGGUUGACAUGUACACCUUUCCACCUUUUGAGAUCACCUGAUGCAUGAUAGAUUUCCCACAAACAUUUCAUAUAGAAGAAUGAACCUGUUAUAUGUGAAAUUUUACUUGAUCUGAAUAUACUAGUGCUCUUAAUAAAAUAAGAAUUACUAAACAAUUUCCUUUGAAUAGUACCAGGCAGGUCUGAAACCCAGCCUUGGUUGAUAUUUUCAUGUGCUGAUAACAGCAACCAAAGUAUCAUGACUUCUGUUAAUAAUUGAUUGCUCCUUGCAGGGGAAAAAUAAAUAAAACCGGAGUCUGACUGCUCCA